rnacentral:misc_RNA from 1 species
CGCACAUUGCGCCCCCUGGUAUUCCGGAGGGCAUGUUCGUUUGAGCGUCAUUAAAAACCUUCAAGCCCAGCUUGGCUGUGGACGUCUCGUCCGGAGAGCGGACGCGUCCUAAACCCAUCAAGCGGCGGCGUCGAGCCCCGAGCGUAGUAGAAUCUAGCCGCUCCGGCCGGCCUCGCGCGUCGCCCGCUUACAAUCCAGAAAUUCGCUUUCAUUUUCAGGAUUGACCUCAAAUCGAACAAGAAAACCCGCUGAACUUAA